CCAUCUAUGCUCCUCAUGCCCUUGAGAGUGUCACAAGGCAGUCACCUGAUCGCUGGCUCACGAAUGCCCGAAUGCGCAUUACCAGGCUUUGCUCUUGAAUAACGAUAGAGUCACCUUUGCCCCGGCGACAGGGCUAAACCCUGCCACCUUAUUACCGGAUCCAGAAAUCCAGCCCCCAGAGCCUGAUUGUUUGCAGGUUCUAGCAGAGGAACAGGGAUGGCAAAAGGACUUGAGAUUCUGGCUUUGCGCAAUGCCUUGUUGCUGCCCACCAAGGUAAGCAUUAUUCAUUGCCCGGGACAUCAGAAGGGAACUUCCAGGGCAGCAAAGGGGAAUAACAUGGCUGAUCAGGAGGCUAAAGCAGCCGCUAGAGGAAACUCUGUCCCAGUGGUACUGACCGCUGAGCUGCCCAGAGAAGAACGACUAAACUACUCAGAAAGUGACUUAAAGCUAAUACGGCAAAAACGGGAUAUUUGACACCGGUGUGGGGGCAUGGAUUGACUCCAAAGGUAAGGUCAUUCUACCACAGGAAGAUGCUGAGAAAUUAAUAACUCAGAUGCAUAAGUGGACUCACUUGGGGGCAAAGAAAUUGGCUGAAAUUGCCCGCCAAUCCCAGUACCAAAUACUAAACCUCACCGCCCUGACUGAGAGAGUGACCUGGGAGUGUGAACCCUGUCAGAAGGAUGGGUGGAAGCUUUUCCCACAAAGAAAGAAACCGAUCUGGUCAUAACCAUAAAGAUUCUGGAAGACAUUUUUCCUCGGUUUGAUAUUCCAAAGGUAAUUGGGUCAGACAAUGGGCUGGCCUUCGUUGCUCAGGCUGAGAGGACUGCAGCUUAUUCAGAAAGAGAUUUGGAGCAAGGUUGGCAGUGCAUAUGCGCCCGGGUCCUUGGAGGUGCCCCAUCAGUUCCAGGUUGGUGAUCUGGUAUGUGCAAUGACACCGCAGCCAGAAUCUGGAACCCCGGUGGAAGGGUCCUUAUUACGUCCUGCUCACCACUAUACCAACUGCCGACAAAGUCGAGGGCAUCGCAUCUUGGAUCCACGGGUCACACAUCAAGCCAGCUCUUCAUCAAUCUGAAGACACCUGGAAAGUCCAAGCCUCCAGCAACCCGCUAAAACUGAAACUCAUCAGGGACAAUAAACUCUCUGACCAGUACUCGCCUUCGUCAGGGAACGUGUAAAUGCAGUUUAGGUCUUGAUGCUCCAGAGACAGUAUCAACCUCUCCCUGAGGUUGAUCCACAAUUUUAGGGCAAAAAAGAAAAGGGGAGAAUGAGAAAAAACAACUGUGAUUCUUUGAAUUGAAGCCAGGUGCAGAGAGCUCUUGAAGGGUGAGGUGAACUGUUCUGAGAAACAACCAGCUGUAAACUAUCUACAACCAGCUGUAAACUAUAGAGCAAAGUGAUCCAAUUUUCAGGUAUAAAAACCCUGUGCUUUGCAUGUUCAGGGUCGUCUCUCGCUUUUGGAGGGGCGACCCUAUUGUGAUAGCAAUAAAACCUCUUGCUUUUGCAUCGA